GAUGUGAAGCAAGGGCACGGAUUUGGAAGGUGGCUGCCGCAGAGAGAGACGCUGCCGUUUUAGAGGGAUGUUGGAGGGGGCUAAAACUCUUUUGUUACUCAGGGGUGGCCAACCUAUCGUCCCAAUAUUGUGGGGCGCCGGAAGGACGUGGACGGGAAACGGGGAGGAGCCUAAGCCAGGAGGAGAGACGACCUAUAAAAGCCCGAAUUUAGGCGGACAGAGGGGAAUCGUGGUUCACGCGUAUACCAAGGCAGGCUGAGAGCGACUAAUCUGCAGGUAACUGACCCUUUUGGUGGGCGCGCGUGGACUGGCCGAGGACGUCCGCUGUGGGGGCCCCGUCGAAGGCCAUUUGGCUAUCGGCGAGUGUUGGGUCUAGUCGCUGCUGGAAAUUCGCCGGAGAAAUCGGCGUAGCAGGGCGGACACGGGUUUGUGGUCGAGCGAAGAAGGGAAGAUAUUGGCGUGAAGGCUAAUCUCCGAGUACCAUCUAUGUUUUUUCUGUGUGCUCUAAACUAUGUAAAUUAAAGAUUAUUUUUUGACUGA